rfam:Pseudomonas entomophila str. L48 chromosome,complete sequence.
CUAGUCUCGGCCUGUCGUUGCACAUCAACGACACAGCUUUGACAGGCUGUGAC